AGCUGGACGGCCUGGCCCGUGACGCUGGGAGUUAGCUGGCUUCUCCCAGGCUAUGGGCUCGAACGCUAACUUGUUAACAGGUCCCAGAGGAAGGACAUGAAAGGCAGAGUUGAGGGAUUUCAAGUUUGUCUUUAUCUCAUUCACAACCUAUGUUUUGUUUUAUGAUAAGAAAUGCUAACAUAAAAGAAGAAUUUCCCCGUACUACGAACAUUGCGUGGCUACCAAAGUAUGGUUCUGAUAUGGUCCCCGGGCUCCUGGGCCAAGAAAGGAGGCAAAUAAAGAUAAAGUGCACACUCCGCGCUCUGCAGAAUUUCUGUAACCUGAACUAGGAGUGCUGUGCCAGAAAGUCAGUCUCACCGACACAGACGAGGCAGUCACACGAGAGUGGAGGGAGGGAGGCCUGUUUAUUGGUUUAUUAAGCAACUAUUUAUAAUAGAGCUCCUUCUGGGUACCAGCCAUCAUCCCAGGUCCUGGGAUGCAGCAGUGAACAACACAAGAUUGUUUUCUGGAAGGCAAAGCCAACGACAAAGUUGUCUCUGACCUUCGUAGGAGGGGUUGCAGAGAGCCUGGCUUUAGAUGUGAAGAAUGAGGAAUUUGAAAUUUACAUGUGUUUGUACAACACGAUUUUCAUUUGCAAACUGCUGUCAUGUGAUGAGGACUCUGAGUUCAGAACUGUGAACACAAGCUCGGUGCUUUUGAUCCGGUCUUCCCUCAGGUGAAGCGAUCUCCUCUCAAAGCAGAAGCACUGGUUCUAGAUGUCACACUCAGGGCUGACUGGUUCGUGUUUUCUGCUUCUUGGCUGCGCCCCGGAGAAGGCUCCCGACCCUCAAGGCGUCAGACCGGUUUCUGGAUCUUCGUGGGGUUUUUUCUGUCCCCACUUCAUUUUGAUGUAGCCCCGGCCGCCCCUCCACUUCCUGGUUGGGCUGCUGGGCGAACAUUCCGAAGGCAGCAGAAACUCCAGCGAGGGAGCCUCAGUUGUUGUUUUUCAACUUCCUUUGAUCCUAUUUUGUGGUUGACUUGGCGAAAGUCCACAUCUGUCACCAAUGAGCUUUAAAGCGGCUGCAGCUCAAAGCCCAAAUCGGAUCUGAGCUCAACACACCCAGUUCUGAGGCGUCCAUUUCCUUUCAAUUCUGGACGAAUACACGGGGCUUCCCUUAUUGGACAUCCAUCUUCCCUGCUCGCUGUCUCUCCCUCACCUCCCCCUCAAUAAUCCUCCAGGCUCAGGAAGGACCUUAACAUGUUUCUGUUGCUGUGCAGCA